rnacentral:rRNA from 1 species
GUGGGGAAUCUUGCGCAAUGGGCGAAAGCCUGACGCAGCCAUGCCGCGUGAAUGAUGAAGGUCUUAGGAUUGUAAAAUUCUUUCACCGGGGACGAUAAUGACGGUACCCGGAGAAGAAGCUCCGGCUAACUUCGUGCCAGCAGCCGCGGUAAUACGAAGGGGGCUAGCGUUGCUCGGAAUUACUGGGCGUAAAGGGCGCGUAGGCGGACAGUUUAGUCAGAGGUGAAAGCCCAGGGCUCAACCUUGGAAUUGCCUUUGAUACUGGCUGUCUUGAGUACGGGAGAGGUGAGUGGAACUCCGAGUGUAGAGGUGAAAUUCGUAGAUAUUCGGAAGAACACCAGUGGCGAAGGCGACUCACUGGCCCGUUACUGACGCUGAGGCGCGAAAGCGUGGGGAGCAAACAGGAUUAGAAACCCGGGUAGUCC